rnacentral:sRNA from 1 species
GGCUGCCUUCCUGCUCUCUACGUGGAGCUCUGCACCGCAAAAGACGAGCGAUCCCAGACGGCGAUUCUAGUGGCGAUGAGAAAUCUGUCGGAUUCUGCGACAAACGAGGAAAAUCUCACUCAACUGAUCAUCAAGCUUCUCGAAAUCAUUCGUGUCGCCAACGAUGGAAUGACUGCCUGCGCGUGUGGAACAUUGAGCAAUCUCACCUGCAAUAACACUAGAAACAAGCAAACCGUGUGUUCUCACGGGGGAAUCGAUGCUCUCGUCACCGCGAUCCGCCGACUACCUGAAGUUGAAGAAGUCACCGAACCGGCUCUCUGUGCUCUUCGGCACUGUACUGCCAGGCACUCACUGGCUGAAGAAGCUCAAAGUGAGCUGAGAUUCUGUCAAGCAUUCCCAGUGAUUUUGGAUCAGCUGGAAACUCUUCGUACUCCAGUUAUCAAGGCAGCUCUCGGAGUUAUUAGAAAUAGUGCACUUCUUCAAACAAAUCUUAUCGAGUUGACACAAGAACAAACUGCAAAUGGGCAUACAGCUGUGUCACUGACAAUGGAUAUCUUGAGAAGAGCUAUCACGGCGAUUGAGGAGAAUCCUGAUAUUGCUGUAGAUGGAGUUCCAAUGUGGGGAGUCAUCGAAGGAGCUGUCUCGGCUCUUCAUCAGCUCGCGAAUCAUCCGGCAGUCGCUGCAGCAUGCUGUGAUGAUAUUGGACAAGUCGGAAAUCCAGAAUGUCCACCAUUCUUGGAUCUUCUCCAUCGUCUUCUGGCUCAUCCGAGACUCGGAUCCAUGGAUGAUGAAGUUCUCGAACGCGAGAUUCUUGGGCUUCUCUAUCAGUUGAGCAAGCGGCCAGACGGAGCCCGUGCUGUUGAGAGUACUGGAGUUAGUGCUCUUUUAAUGGAAUCUCGUGGCUCACAGUACAAAUCAGUCGUCACUUAUGCGAAUGGAGUGUUGAGUAAUUUGAAGAGAGGAGAUUCAGCUGCCAUCAUGAAUAUGUCUAAU